CCGGAAGCGUGUGUAAGACCUGCGAGUGUGGGGGGGACCUCUGCCUGGUUUGUGACUUCUGCCAAGCUUUCUAGGUGGCCCUGGGUUCUUUCUGACUUCGGUCCUGUUGACGCACGGAAGUUAUUUGUGGUGGGCUUGUCAGUGAACUGAUGCAGAGUUUUCAGCAGCGAGCUCAUCCUGAGGAGAAUGGAGAAGGUCAUCAAACAUCAUUGUGGAUGCCAUCCUGGAACACGGGGCCAUAGAGAGAUCUUCAAACCUGCAGUGAAGUCCUCUGCCAACGGACCUGUCAUGGAUUCUACAAUAGACUGAUUAUAUUAACAUGCUUGUGUCUUCUACUUCUGUUCUGACAAUGCUAAUCAUAUUUCAACUGCUGCAUUUGCAAAAAAAAAAAAAAGGAGGAGUUGUUGGGGAGCACUACAAAGUGGCUCUGAGCAGGAUUUAAUAUUAACCAAUUAGCUUUGCGUGUUUACUUGUGAGCUCUCUGAGGCUCAGGCAGCUUGUCUGACAAUGAGACUGCAGCUAAGGACAUCUGGCUCCAACCCCAGUUAUCUAUGAGGAGACUGCAGCUGCAGGCCCCACACUCCUACAAUAAAUACCAACCUAAAGAUAAGAUUUCUCCUGAUUGUCAUAAUUUACUACUUGGGAAAAU
rnacentral:lncRNA from 1 species